AGAACGAACGCUGGCGGCGUGGAUAAGACAUGCAAGUCGAGCGAGAUUUUUUCUUGUAGCAAUACAGGGAAAAGUCUAGCGGCGCACGGGUGAGUAACACGUGGGCAACCUGCCCCUCACACUGGGAUAACCUCGGGAAACCGGGCUAAUACCGGAUACGACCUCGAGCGGCAUCUCUUGAGGUGGAAAGCUCCGACGGUGAGGGAUGGGCCCGCGGCCUAUCAGCUUGUUGGUGGGGUAAUGGCCUACCAAGGCGACGACGGGUA
rnacentral:rRNA from 1 species